UGGUGCAGCGCCUUGGCGUAAUGCAGAUCUCGCUGGCAGCUCCGGAGCGAAUUCGGGUCCUGGACGGUGCUGGAGGCGCGGACACUGUGCCGGGGUGCGCGCCGCUGCCCUAAAAUGCCCGACCCUCCCCCUUCCCCUAGGUUUCUCCGGAGCUCCCCCGAGUGUCCCUGUGAGUGUCUGCCAGCCAGGGGCGAUUAUCACUAGCGGUGUCGCUGCUAGGUGGCCUGCAGGGAAGAGAUACCUGUGAGAAAUCAGUUCAUUUCUGGGUUCUACCUCCAGGAUGGAGCACACCUGAGGUCAGCUACAAGCUGACUACAUACGGAUUGCGGCUGUAUGGCUUCAAGGAAAAUACUUCUUUGAAAGAGGAUGCAAACCAGAGAAUUAAGAAUAUGCCUUUAAAGAGUCUGUGUGUGCACUAAUGCAUUUGAAAUGUGUCUAUUGGGACAGCUGGCUGGCUCAGUUGGUAGAGAUCACUCUUGAUCUCAGGGUCCUGAGUUCAGGCCCCACAUUAGGUGCGAAGCCUACUAAAAAACAAACAAACAAAAAACCAAAACCUGAAAAUGAAGUUUGUCUCUAGGAACAAACAUCUCACAAUUGUUACUUUUUUUCUAUGAAUGGAAAUAGCCCCCAAAUCAUUACAUUCCCUUUGACCUAUUCAGAUACUCUCUACAAAUUCCUUAGCAAGGCAAGCUAUAAAACAAUUACUUGAAGACUACGCAUGGAGUUGGACUGAGCAUUAAUGACAUUACAUCUUGGGGGUAACAGAUUUCAAAGGGAGAGCCACAAAAUUGGAUUGCAAAUUAUCUCCCUGAAACUUCAAUGCAUGAUGAACCACUAAAGAGCCUCUAGAAAAUGGGAGAAGACAUUAGCACACCAAUUAUUUAAGGGGUUGACAGGAUGCCCUACCAGGCUUCUUUGGAAUGACUCAUUUUGAAACCAGUGAGAAUGAGCUUUAUAUCUCCUUUGGAGGAUGAAUAAAUAGCACAAAUUAAUAUGUCAGUGAAAUGCUCUAGAAUAAUGACACUUUGUUUUACAACAUAGUUUCCCAGGACCUUAGUAAUUAAAAUAGAAAAGUGAAACAUGAGUGAAUCUUCCAUCACAGAUCAGUCCAAAGCACUUAUUUCAAGCCUUUCUCUGUUACUUCAGACAAAAAUUUAAGCCACCUCUUUGCCAAUUUCCAGAGCUGGUUUGGAUUCCAGAGCAUUCCUGAAAUUGACCUGUCUGAAUGGAGAGAGUAACUAACUGAGUGCUAUUUACAGUUUGUACAAGGACGAUGGCAACCAUUUACGAAGCACUUAAUAGAUACUAAAAAUAAAGAAAGCUAAAUGCUUUA